AUGACCUUCAUCAUCAUCUUCAUCUGGACUCUCACAUACUGCUUUGUACUACAAGGGUGUAAAGCUCAAAUCACAGUGACUCAGACUCCUUCGGUGAAACCUGUCACACCAGGAGAAAAUGUUAAGAUGAGCUGUACAUUCAGUAGUAGUGAUACAGGCUGCAGCCCACCGUGUGUGUCCUGGUACUUACAGAAACCUGGAGAAGCUCCUAAACUCCUGAUUUAUGGAACAAGCAGCCUCCAGUCAGGAACUCCAUCUAGAUUCAGUGGCAGUGGAUCUAACAAAGAUUUCACUCUGACCAUCAGUGGAGUCCAGACUGAAGAUGCUGGACAUUAUUACUGUCUGGAAAGCUUCUGUGGUCCAGUGUUCACACAGUGA